AUUGAACGCUGGCGGCAGGCCUAACACAUGCAAGUCGAACGAGUGGCGGACGGGUGAGUAAUGUCUGGGAAACUGCCUCAUGGAGGGGGAUAACUACUGGAAACGGUAGCUAAUACCGCAUACCAUCGGAUGAGCCCAGAUGGGAUUGGCUAGUAGGUGGGGUAAUGGCUCACCUAGGCGACGAUCCCUAGCUGGUCUGAGAGGAUGACCGGCACCACUGGAACGGAGACACGGUCCCGCCUCCUACGGGAGUCAGCGGUGGGGAAUUUUGCACAAUGGGCGCAAGCCUGAUGCAGCCAUGCCGCGUGGAUGAAGAGGGCCUUCGGGUUGUAAGGUACUUUCAGCGGGGCGGCGUUACCCGCAGAAGAAGCACCGGCUAACUACGUGCCAGCAGCCGCGGUAAUAC
rnacentral:rRNA from 1 species